rnacentral:rRNA from 1 species
UACGAAGGGGGCUAGCGUUGUUCGGAAUUACUGGGCGUAAAGCGUGCGCAGGCGGCUUCUCAAGUCAGGGGUGAAAGCCCAGAGCUCAACUCUGGAAUUGCCUUUGAGACUGAGUGGCUUGAGUACGAGAGAGGUGAGUGGAAUUCCCGGUGUAGAGGUGAAAUUCGUAGAUAUUGGGAAGAACACCGGUGGCGAAGGCGGCUCACUGGCUCGUAACUGACGCUCAUGCACGACAGCGUGGGGAUCAAACAGG